rnacentral:rRNA from 1 species
UCGCACGAGAAAGGGGCUUCGGCUCUGAGUAAAGUGGCGCACGGGUGAGUAACACGUGAAUGAUCUACCUCCGAGUGGGGAAUAACUGAGAGAAAUCUUAGCUAAUACCGCAUAACACUUACGAGUCAAAGCAGCAAUGUGCUUGGAGAGGAGUUCGCGGCCGAUUAGUUAGUUGGCGGGGUAAUGGCCCACCAAGACGAUGAUCGGUAUCCGGCCUGAGAGGGCGCACGGACACACUGGAACUGAAACACGGUCCAGACUCCUACGGGAGGCAGCAGUGGGGAAUUUUGCGCAAUGGGGGAAACCCUGACGCAGCAACGCCGCGUGGAGGAUGAAAUCCCUUGGGAUGUAAACUCCUUUCGAUAGGGAAGAUAAUGACGGUACCUAUAGAAGAAGCCCCAGCUAACUUCGUGCCAGCAGCCGCGGUAAUACGAGGGGGGCAAGCGUUGUUCGGAAUUAUUGGGCGUAAAGGGCGCGUAGGCGGUUUGACAAGCCUGAUGUGAAAUCUCUGGGCUCAACCCAGAGUCUGCAUUAGAAACUGUCGGGCUUGAGUAUGGGAGAGGUGAGUGGAAUUUCCGGUGUAGCGGUGAAAUGCGUAGAUAUCGGAAGGAACACCUGUGGCGAAAGCGGCUCACUGGACCAUAACUGACGCUGAGGCGCGAAAGCUAGGGGAGCAAACAGGAUUAGAUACCCUGGUAGUCCUAGCCCUAAACGAUGAUUGCUUGAUGUG